rnacentral:rRNA from 1 species
AACGAACGCUGGCGGCAGGCCUAACACAUGCAAGUCGAACGCCCGUAGCAAUACGGGAGUGGCAGACGGGUGAGUAACGCGUGGGAACGUACCCUUUGGUUCGGAACAACUCCGGGAAACUGGAGCUAAUACCGGAUGAGCCCUACGGGGGAAAGAUUUAUCGCCGAAGGAUCGGCCCGCGUCGGAUUAGCUUGUUGGUGAGGUAACGGCUCACCAAGGCGACGAUCCGUAGCUGGUCUGAGAGGAUGAUCAGCCACACUGGGACUGAGACACGGCCCAGACUCCUACGGGAGGCAGCAGUGGGGAAUAUUGGACAAUGGGCGCAAGCCUGAUCCAGCCAUGCCGCGUGAGUGAUGAAGGCCUUAGGGUUGUAAAGCUCUUUCGCCAGGGACGAUAAUGACGGUACCUGGAUAAGAAGCCCCGGCUAACUUCGUGCCAGCCGCCGCCGUAA